CGUAAAAAUACGGUAACUCCCUUGAAAGUAGUCGUGUGUCGUUCUAGUCGUUGUUACUACGUAUAUUUAUACAGGGUAAGGUUUGAUGUAGUGGCUGAUGUUGGGAUCGCGUGCCAUUACUGUCGUACCAGUCUGCACCUAUCCCAUCGUUAAGGCGUACUCCGCCAUGUCAUUAACGUAAUCACUCCCUGUCACUUUGGGAACUCGAUAGAACACUCAAUAUUUUAAGUAGUCAAAACUUACUUUUCGUCUUACUUUCGACGUGAUCGCUCGUGAAUUUUCAUUUGCAUUUGCUUUAAAAAAUACACGAUAAAUCGUUUUACGGUCCCAGAUGUAUACACGUAUCAAUGUAUCGCGCGUUUAGGAACACUCAAUGUAUGUUUGAAAAAUGCGCGAACUGCAGAGACGCCAUUGAAUAAUUGUGCAUUCGUCAGGACGCCACGCUACCGAGUGAUGUGAAAAACAGGAAGGUGAUUAAUCGAGGCAAGAAUUUCUACAAAAACGUAUACGUCUCUGGUCCUUCUGAUGCACAGAUGCUAAAUAUGUACGUCGUUUUGAAUUUACGUUGCGUAUAUCAACCUCGACUUGUCUUCGAAGGAUUUGAGAUUCUAAAGCAUUCGCGGACUGCAGUGGUGAAUGUAAAGUGUAUGGCUGAAAAGUAUGAUGGGAUUUCCGCUUUCUAGAAAAUGCAGACGAAGCUCCAUAAUGAUGCAGCACGAGGGACUGCUUUUAUGCCAAUACUUCAAAGUGCCAUAACCUACGUGGUGGUAUCGUACGAGGCAAAAGUUACGUGAACCAGAAUCUUCAUUAUCAUCUUCAGGUGUCUUCUUAUGAAACAAGAAUGCAGACAUCAUUAGUGCAAUCUCGAGAUAUACGUCAGAGAUGUUCGACUGGGUGAGGCCCGUUCCUUUUUUUCUACGCGCGAUUUUCAAAGGAGAAGAGGAAUAUUCACGGAAUAUGCACGAUACGUAAAGG